rnacentral:rRNA from 1 species
GUGGGGAAUAUUGGGCAAUGGGCGAAAGCCUGACCCAGCAACGCCGCGUGAAGGAAGUAGGUUUUCGGAUCGUAAACUUCUAUCCUUGGUGAAGAUAAUGACGGUAGCCAAGAAGGAAGCCCCGGCUAACUACGUGCCAGCAGCCGCGGUAAUACGUAGGGGGCAAGCGUUGUCCGGAAUGAUUGGGCGUAAAGGGCGCGUAGGCGGCCCGGUAAGUCUGAAGUGAAAGUCCUGCUUUUAAGGUGGGAAUUGCUUUGGAUACUGUCGGGCUUGAGUGCAGGAGAGGUAAGCGGAAUUCCCGGUGUAGCGGUGAAAUGCGUAGAGAUCGGGAGGAACACCAGUGGCGAAGGCGGCUUACUGGACUGUAACUGACGCUGAGGCGCGAAAGUGUGGGGAGCAAACAGGAUUAGAUACCCUUGUAGUCC